AUGAACGCUAGCGGCAGGCUUAAUACAUGCAAGUCGAACGGUAAGUUUGGUAGCAAUAUCAAACCAAGAGUGACGUACGGGUGCGUAACACGUAUGCAACCUACCUUGUACAGGAGUAUAGCUCGGGGGAAACUCGAAUUAACCCUCCAUGAGAUCACAGUGUGGCAUCACACAGUGAUUAAAACUCAGGUGGUACAAGAUGGGCAUGCGUCUGAUUAGAGUUGGCGGGGUAAUGGCCCACCAAGACGAUGAUCAGUAGGGGACCUGAGAGGGUGA
rnacentral:rRNA from 1 species